CGGGCAGUAGCUCAGUGGUAGAGCUCCCGCUUCGUAUGCGGGAGAACCUGGGUUCGAUCCCUGGCUGCUUCC
rnacentral:tRNA from 1 species